GCGUCCGGCCGGAAACUCGGUCCGCCCGGGCAGCAGCGUUCCGGCUGAGGCCCCGCGAGCGAGUCGAGGGACUCCUUGGCUGCGGUGAUGGGGACGGUGGGCGUAGGGCUGGUGGACUGUCACUGUCACCUCUCCGCCCCGGAUUUUUACCACGAUCUGGAUGAUGUGUUGGAGAAAGCCAAGAAAGCCAGUGUUAUGGCUCUUGUGGUGGUUGCUGAACAUUCAGGAGAAUUUGAAAAGAUUAUGCAGCUUUCAGAAAGGUAUAAUGGAUUUGUCCUGCCAUGCUUGGGUAUUCACCCUGUUCAGGGAGUUUCAUCAGAAGACCAAAGAAGUGUCACAUUAAAGGAUUUGGAUAUAGCUUUGCCCAUUAUCGAGAAUUAUAAGGAUCAAUUGUUGGCAAUUGGAGAGGUUGGACUAGAUUUCUCCCCCAGAAUUGCUGGCACUGAUGAACAGAAGGAAGAGCAAAGACAAGUCCUAAUCAGACAGGUCCAAUUGGCCAGAAGACUCAAUUUGCCUUUAAAUGUUCACUCACGCUCCGCUGGAAGACCCACCAUCAGCCUCUUACGGGAGCAAGGUGCCGACAAAGUGCUACUGCAUGCGUUUGACGGUCGGCCGUCUGUAGCCAUGGAAGGUGUAAGAGCUGGGUACUUCUUCUCAAUUCCUCCUUCUAUCAUAAGAAGUGGACAGAAGCGGAAACUUGUGAAACAGUUGCCUUUAACUUCAAUUUGCUUAGAAACAGAUUCACCUGCACUUGGACCAGAAAAACAGGUACGGAAUGAACCCCACAACAUUUCCAUUGCAGCAGAAUAUAUUGCCCAGGUAAAAGGAAUCUCAGUGGAGGAAGUUAUAGAAGUGACAACACAGAAUGCAUUGAAACUGUUUCCCAAGCUUCGGCACCUGCUCCAGAAAUAGCUUCAAAACAAAAUCAACUGCAGAGGGCAGUGUUCAAGAAAAAGAAAUAUGCUGAUGAAGAGUCUGAAUUGAAGAAGCCAUUGUAUCAAGGCAUAGAAGAUUAUAAUUUUAGAGAAAUAUUUCUCUUAGAAGUAAAGCUGGGCUUAGAUCCUGAAACCUGGGUUCUAAAUCUGCUUUGCACUUCUUUCAAUGACUGGAAUCCUGGCAGGAGACUGGGAAACACUGCUGCUGCCGACUUUGCCCUGUUCGAUAGAACCAUUGUAUGAACUGAAACUAUUUCUUCUGGCACGGGUGGCUCCCACAGGGUUACUUUGUAUAUGUUCUUCACCUCUAGAGAUUGCAGAUCUUUUCAAGACAAACUACUUUUUUUGUUUUUGCAUCUUUUUGUUUUUUUGGCACCUGGGCCAGGAGUCGAACCUGCACCACAGCAGUGACCCAAACCGCAGCAGUGACAGUGCUGCUCUUUAACCUUUUGCACCACAAGAGAAUACCUGUUUUUGCAUCUUCUGCAUGUCCUGAAACAAGGUUUGCAAUGUCACGUGUUCUCACAUAUCUUUUAAAUAAGUGGAUAAAGUUCUCUCUCGGAGGAGUGGCCAAGGUGGCAGAGUAGACCCUUCGCUCACCUCCUCUCAGAGGCACACGAAAUUAUAGCUAUUUCCAGAGCAACUCUUGAUGAGAAAGACCAGAAGAUCAGCAGAAAUGAUCUUCUACAACUAAAGCUAUAAAAAAGGAACAACAAGGAGACAAGUAGGAAGGGCAGAGACAUGAUAUAGUCAAGACCCAUUCCCUCUGGUGGGUGACUCACAAACAGGAAGGAAAUUACAAUUGCAGAGGCUCUGCCCAAGGAGGAAGGGGUCGGAACCCCAUAUCGAGCUCCCAAGGCCCAGAGGUCCUACACCAAGAAGACAAGCCCCCAGAAUGUUUGGCUCUGAAGGUCAGGAGGGCUAAUUUUCUGGAGACCCAGAGGGCUGUGGGAAAUAGAGACUCCACUCUUAAGGGUGCACUCAAAAUCUCACACACUCCAGACCAGAAAGGAGCCUGGGUCUCACCCACCUGCUGAUCAUGGAGAGCCUCCCAGAGAGGCAGGAGGCAACCGGAGCUCCCUCUGGGGAUGUAGACACUGGCAGCAGCAGAUGUUGGAGAGCUUCGUCCACCACCGAGCCACUGGUACUGGCAAGGGCCAAUGUGGAAUCCUCCCUCAAGUUUAUUAGCACUGGGACCCGGCCCUGCCCACCAGCCUUCAGCACCAGUACUGGGGCACCUCAGCCCAAAGAACUAGUUGGUGGGGAGGUACAGCCCCACCCACCAGCAGAUCUGCUGUUUUAAGACCCAUUGAGCCAGUAGCCACCCUGGGAUCCAGGCCGGCCCACCAGUGUACCGGCACUAGGCCCUACCCCAGCCCCGUCCACCAGCAGGCCAUCUCUUCAACUCUGGGGACCAUCCCCCACCCGCGGGCCCUACAGCCAGAGAUUUGGGGGCAGAGCUUCACCCGCCAGUGGGUCGGCACUAGCCCCGGGAUCCAGCCCCACCCAUUAGCAGGCUGACACAUGCUCAGAGAUACCUUGGACCCCCACAGGCAGCUGCACCAAGAUCUAGCUCCACUCAUCAGCAUACCAGCCCCACAGCCACCCAUCCAGAACCUGGUUUCACCUACCAAUGGGCCAGCAGUAACCAUGGAACCCCCAGGACUCUGCAGCCAGCACCUUGUGACCUAGUCCUGCUAACCAAUGCCUGGCAACCUCUGAUUAAGGCAGGGCAUGGCAGCCCAUCAGACCAGGAACCAGCCAUGCCUACCUGACCUCCCACAGUACUCAGCCUGCCACGAAGAAGGAUCCACACAGCCCAGAAAAAAGUUCAAGGUAAUGAGUGUAACAGUGUUCAAAGUACUCAAGAGAAGACUGGAUGAACAGAAUGAAAAGUUAGACAUUUUAAACAAAGAGAAAAUAUAAGAAUCAAACAGAUGAAGGAUAGUACAAUUGAAAUGAAAAAUGUACUAGAAGGAAUCAACAGAUUAAAUGAUGUGGAGGAAUGAAUCAGCAAGCUGGAAAACAGUGGAAAUCACUAUUGCUGAACAGAAAAAAAAUAAAUAAGGAUAAUUUAAGAGACCUCUGGGAGAACAUCAAGCAUACUAACAUUCACAUUGUAGGGGUCCCAGAAGGAGAAAAGAGAAAGGAGCAAAGAUCAUGUUUGAAGAAAUAAUAGCUAGAAAAUUCCUAACCUGAGAAAGGAAACAGAUAUACCGGGCUAGGAAUCAGAGAGAAUCCCAAACAGGAUCAACCCAAAGCAGGCCACAUCAAGACACGUAAUUAAAAUGACAAAAAUUGAAGAAAGAAUAUUAAAAGCAGCAAGGAAAAAAACCUAUAAGUGACCUUCUAAAAGGGAGAUCCCAUAAAAAAUAUAUAUUCUUUUUCUCA